rnacentral:misc_RNA from 1 species
AAGUCGUAACAAGGUUUCCGUAGGUGAACCUGCGGAAGGAUCAUUCAUAAUAAGUGUUUUAUGGCACUUUUUAAAUCCAUAUCCACCUUGUGUGCGAUGUCGGUCGAUCUUCUUUUUUUGAGGAUCGACCAAACAUCAACCUUUAUCUUUUAACUCUUUGUCUGAAAAAUAUUACGAAUAAACAAUUCAAAAUACAACUUUCAACAACGGAUCUCUUGGCUCUC